GGGCCCUUAGCUUAGUCCGGUUAAAGCGCCCGGCUCAUAACCGGGUGAGCGGUGGUUCAAAUCCGCCAGGGCCCA
rnacentral:tRNA from 1 species